AGGGAGGCCCUGGGGACAUCAUACUUGUAGGACAGUAGUUCCCACUCUCCAGGACAGGAGAGUUAAUGGAAGAACAGUGGCCACCUAACAACAACCCAGCAGCACUGUCAUCAGAGUGGCACAGAAGCAGAGGGGCCACAUCUGCAGGAAGGACCAGGGACAGAUGGAUAUCAUCCAGAAUAGGUUCACUGGGGUGUGCUUCAGGAUGGGCCACACUCUGACAGGACACACCAGAAGAGGACAUUGGAUCCCAUUACAGAUGGAUGGGAAUUGAACUCAGGACCUCUAGAAGAGCUCUUAACCACUGAGCCAUCUCUCCAGCCCAAGAUGCUCCCUGCCUCCAGCCUGAUGGAGCUCUCUAGAGUCCCUCACCUGCUACUGUGUACCUGCCUUUGCAAGACCCUUCUUCUACCACCGCUAACAUGGACUCUACACCUUCCUGCUGUAUAUAUAACUUGUAUAUAUGACUUCUCGUUCCUUGCCAUCCCUCCUCUUCUUCCUAUCUGGGCGUCAUCAUUGUUGUCACCUGGUCCACCUGUGGUGGUCUUCAGCCUCGGAGCAAGUGGUACACCUUUCCCUCCUCCUUCUCCCACAGCAACUAGCACAGCGAUUUCCCAGAACAGUUGCUGAAGACCGGAAAUGCACUUCCUAUGUCAACGCACCUUGUAAUUUCAGCGAUCAUCUCUUGAAUAUAUCCCUUCUCUCGGAUGAUAUUUUAAUGUUGGCUUUUCUGAAAAUAAAGCUGCCCUUUGGAAGAGUA